CAGCCGCCACGGUAAUACGUAGGGUGCGAGCGUUAAUCGGAAUUACUGGGCGUAAAGCGUGCGCAGGCGGUUGUGUAAGACAGGUGUGAAAUCCCCGGGCUUAACCUGGGAACUGCGCUUGUGACUGCACAGCUAGAGUAUGGCAGAGGGGGGUGGAAUUCCACGUGUAGCAGUGAAAUGCGUAGAGAUGUGGAGGAAUACCGAUGGCGAAGGCAGCCCCCUGGGCCAAUACUGACGCUCAUGCAUGAAAGCGUGGGGAGCAAACAGGAUUAGAUACCCCUGUAGUCCCUGUCUCUUAUAC
rnacentral:rRNA from 1 species